GAUAUCUCUGCUGCUCUGUUGAAGAGUCUACCAAUGGGCUGCUUUUUUAACAUCUACAGUUUUGGGGUUCCAGUCAUGAAACAUCUUCCCUAAGAGUGUUGUGAGUACCAGCAGGAGACCAUGGGGAAGAGGGCUCUGAAGAAAGUUGGAGGAUGGAAGCAAAUCUGGGAGGAAUGGAUCUGAGGGCCCCCCAAAGACCGUUUACAGCCAUGCCUGCAUUCCCAAUCCACACCUAGACAACUAUUUGUCUUCACUGCGGAGAAGUGGGGAACCCAAAGAAGUUAUCAAUCUGGUGAGAGAAUUCAGGUUCCACAG